rnacentral:rRNA from 1 species
GGUAGUCCCAGCGUAAACCAUGGGCGCUGGCGUCGUCCUUGUGGCGGUGCCGCAGCUAACGCGGUAAGCGCCCCGCCUGGGGAGUACGGGCGCAAGCUGAAACUCAAAGGAAUUGGCGGGGGCCCGCACAACCGGUGGAGCGUCUGGUUCAAUUCGAUGCUAACCGAAAAACCUUACCCGGGUUUGACAUGGUGGGAAACCCUUGCGAAAGCGAGGGGUGCCGUCCUCUGGACGGAAUCCCACCACAGGUGGUGCAUGGCCGUCGUCAGCUCGUGUCGUGAGAUGUUGGGUUAAGUCCCGCAACGAGCGCAACCCCUGCCCUUAGUUGCUACUCCGAAUGGGGAGCACUCUAAGGGGACUGCCGGCGAUAAGCCGGAGGAAGGUGGGGAUGACGUCAGGUCAGUAUGCCCUUUAUGCCCGGGGCAACACAGGCGCUACAGUGGCCAGGACAAUGGGAUGCAACCCAGCAAUGGGGAGCAAAUCCCCCAAACCUGGUCGUGGUGCAGAUUGAGGGCUGAAACUCGCCCUCAUGAAGCCGGAAUCGGUAGUAAUGGCGGAUCAGCUAAGCCGCCGUGAAUACGUUCUCGGGCCUUGCACACACCGCCCGUCACGCCACGGAAGUCAGUCUUCCCGGAAGCUCCCGGGC